AGUCACUGACAUUAGAUACCCGUGUAGUCCCAGCCGUAAACUAUGCUCGCUAGGUGUCAGGCAUGGCGCGACCGUGUCUGGUGCCGCAGGGAAGCCGUGAAGCGAGCCACCUGGGAAGUACGGCCGCAAGGCUGAAACUUAAAGGAAUUGGCGGGGGAGCACAACAACGGGUGGAGCCUGCGGUUUAAUUGGACUCAACGCCGGACAACUCACCGGGGACGACAGCAAUAUGUAGGCCAGGCUGAAGACCUUGCCUGAAUCGCUG
rnacentral:rRNA from 1 species